rnacentral:sRNA from 1 species
GCUUAAGGGGAGGNAGUCGAGCGGAGUUAAAAAGCUUGCUUUUUAACUUAGCGGCUGUCGGGUGAGUAACAAAAAAGCAACCUGCCUUUAAGAGGGGGAUAACACAGAGAAAUUUGUGCUAAUACCGCAUAAAGCUAUGACUUCGCAUGGAGACAUAGCCAAAGGAGAAAUCCGCUUAAAGAUGGGCCCGCGGCGCAUUAGCUAGUUGGUGAGGUAAUGGCUCACCAAGGCGACGAUGCGUAGCCGACCUGAGAGGGUGAUCGGCCACAUUGGAACUGAGACACGGUCCAGACUCCUACGGGAGGCAGCAGUGGGGCAGUUGGCUCAGAACGAACGCUGGCGGCCUGGCCAGAACGAACGCUGGCGGCUGGCUCAGAACGAACGCUGGCG